rnacentral:rRNA from 1 species
AGAGUUUGAUCCUGGCUCAGGACGAACGCUGGCGGCGUGGAUUAGGCAUGCAAGUCGCGCGACGAGCGGAGCAAUCCGCUACGGAGCGGCGAACGGGUGAGUAACACGUGAUUAACCUGUCCCUACAUUCCGGAUAAUUGGAAGAAAUUCCUUGUAAUACGGGCGAGGAUGGUGAUGAGGCAUCUCAUUGCUAAGGAACGUGCAGUCGUAAGAUUGUGCGGUGCAGGGAGGGGAUCGCGGCUUAUCAGCUAGUAGGUGGGGUAACGGCCUACCUAGGCGACGACGAGUAGCUGGUCUGAGAGGAUGGUCAGCCACAUUGGAACUGAGACACUGUCCAGACUCCUACGGGAGGCUGCAGUCGAGAAUCUUGGGCAAUGCACGAAAGUGUGACCCAGCGACGCCGCGUGGAGGAUGAAGGACCUUGGUUCGUAAACUCCUUUUAGGGGAGAAGAAGGAUGGGUAACCAUCUUGACGGUAUCCCCUGAAUAAGCCACGGCUAACUACGUGCCAGCAGCCGCGGUAAUACGUAGGUGGCAAGCGUUGUCCGGAUUUACUGGGCGUAAAGCGUGGGCAGGCGGACUUUUAAGUAGGAAGUGAAAGGCGGGAGCUCAACUCCUGGACUGCUCCCUAUACUGGAAGUCUUGAGUACCGGAGAGGAUAAGGGAACGGGUUGUGUAGCGGUGAAAUGCGUUGAUAUAACUCGGAACACCAAUGGCGAAAGCACUUAUCUGGACGGAGACUGACGCUCAUCCACGAAAGCCAAGGUAGCGAACAGGAUUAGAUACCCCAGUAGUCC